rnacentral:rRNA from 1 species
CAGCAGCCGCGGGAAUACGAAGGGGGCUAGCGUUGUUCGGAAUUACUGGGCGUAAAGCGCACGUAGGCGGAUAUUUAAGUCAGGGGUGAAAUCCCGCAGCUCAACUGCGGAACUGCCUUUGAUACUGGGUAUCUUGAGUAUGGAAGAGGUAAGUGGAAUUGCGAGUGUAGAGGUGAAAUUCGUAGAUAUUCGCAGGAACACCAGUGGCGAAGGCGGCUUACUGGUCCAUUACUGACGCUGAGGUGCGAAAGCGUGGGGAGCAAACAGGAUUAGAUACCCCCGUAGUCCCUGUCUCUUAUAC